AUGCAGCUCAGGGAGUGUAAUGAGAAGUUGUCCUUCUGGUCCGCUGUACACAUAGACCUCAGGAAGCACAUGAACUGACACGCACAGAAGAGGUUCUGGUUCAGUCCCACUGAUGCAGUGGGGGAGGCCUGAGGAACAGGCCAGCCAGGUAUUGUUAGGUGCCUGGUAGGAGACUGGGGGAUUCCGGGAAGUAAGUAGAGACUGGUUACAAGUAGCCUGAAAAGGAGAAUCACACAGUUUAUACCUGUUGCUGAUUAAGUCGGAGGUUUCCUGCAACAUCCCCCGGUGUAAGGGAACAGGGGAGUGUUGGCAAGCAAGAGGCCUGAUGUUGAAAGGGGCCCCAACUCCCGGUCCAAUAUAGUAUGGGGAUUCAGCCUUUGGACACAGUCAACAAUCUCUGACCAGUUUAGUCUUUAGUUCCCAUGUCAUACUGUAGUAUCAAUGAGUUAAGCUAAGGUAAUGAACAGUUAUGGUAAGAGGAUUGCAAGUUAAAAUAAGUAGCCAAGGUUACACCAGUCCAGAGGGCAGGAAAAUUCAUUAACUUGCUGGCAGCUAGUAUUGGGGUGUUUUUCUGGACAGAGGUAAAAGUUAAGUGACUAAAGUUUCUUUUCUGCUUUUGUCCCACAUCCAACUUGGGCCGCUGUGUGUCUAAAACCAGCGGCAAGGUCAGUGGCACCUGCUCCGAUAGCACUAGCUGGGCGAGGGCCGGGUUCCGGGAACAGAGCACACAAAUCACCCGCAAGAGAAACCUUGUUAGGGCACCGGCCCUCCAGGUGGUAUUUGCAUACACAGUCCUGUGGGGGAAGAGGACAUAGCUGGAGGGAACAGGUAAAAGACAUAAACAAGAAGGAUGAGGGUGUGCUCCCCGGAUGAGUGGCUGGAUGAUGUCUUUAACCUGUUGGGGAGACUGCAGGUACUGUAACAAGUUAGCUUGGGCUGUUUCUGCCAGAUGGGUAUUCUUUAGCUUAGACAAGAUAGGGGGAGCCCUUCCAUACAUGGUUUUAAAAGGAGAGAACCCCACCUUGUAAGGGGUACAUCUGACUCUAAGAAGAGCUAAAGGAAGGAGGUUUGUCCAACCCUCACCGUUCUCUAAGACAAACUUUGUAAGAGUACUUUUUAAGGUUUGAUUCGUGCGUUCUACCUGCCAAGAGCUCUGAGGCCAAUAGGCACAAUGGAGUUUCCAUUGAAUGUAAUGCCUUACUGACUGACUGAGCUGUGGACGAGGUGAAGGCUGGCCCAGUAUUAGAUCCUAGAGCAAACUGCAGCCCAUGUGAAGGGAUGAUUUCAUCGAGUAAGAAUUUAACUACCAUAGAGGCAGUUUCGUUUCUGGUGGCAAAUGCCUCAGUCCAUCCAGAAAAAGUGUCCACCAUCACCAGGAGACACUUACAUGCCGCCCAGUGUGGCUUUAUUUCUGUGAAGUCCAUUUCCCAUCUGUCUCCUGGGGUACAUCCUCGAAGGCGGCAGCCCAGUUCAGGUUUUGGGCCUUGUGUGGCAUUUACCUGCGCACAUUCCCUGCAUCGGGAGGCUGCAAGGUUAGUCAAGUCUUGAAGGUGGGGAAUUUUAAACCAGCUUCUUGAAGGCUGGGCCAGCUUCAUUCCCCCUAGAUGAGUGGAAGAACGGAGACCACGACCAAGGCCUCUCCCAGGGUCUGGGGCAGGAAAAUUCUUGAAUCUGAGAGAACCCACCAUCUGUCCCGAUUUUUACUGGCCUGAAGGUCCAAUGCUUGCUUGUCUUCUGAAGAGUAGACUGGGCAAUCAGGCAAAUCGGGCUGUGGGAAUAUAGAGUGGGUAACAGAGUUAAAGGGGUGACGGGAAGUUGGGCUGCCUCUCGGGCAGCGGAGUCUGCCCUUUGGUUCCCUCAGGCAAUGGCUGUAUUUUCCUUUCAAUGUCCUUGCAGUGGAUUACAGCCACCUGCAGGGGAGCCACACGGCCUGGAGUAAGGCCAGGAUUUCUUCCUUUUUUUUGAUAGUUUUUCUAGCCGAAGUGAGAGGCCCACACUCCUGGUAAAUAGCUCCAUGAACGUGCACAGUUGCAAAGGCACACCUGCUGUCAGUGUAAAUGUUGAUGCGUUUCUUCUUACCCCGUCGGAGGGCAUAAGUGAGAGCAAUUAACUCAGCCUUUUGCGCCCAAGUUUGGGCCGGUAGGGCCUGGGCCCACACACUGUCCGUUUCCGUGGUGACGGCCACCCCAGCCUUUCGCACCUCCUGUUGGAGUAAGCUGCUGCCAUCCGUGAAUACGGUGGCAUCGGCCUUCUCCAGGGGGCAUCCUGGAGGUCCAGGCGGCCAGCCUCCGCAGUCUCCAACAGUUCCUGGCGAUCAAGGCCUGCUGCCGUCAGGUCUGGAUCAGGUAGAAGAGUGGCUGGAUUUAAACACUUUCUAGGGGAGAAAGUCAGGCAAGGCUGAGCCAAGAGCAGACUCUGGUACUGUAAUGUGCCAGCGUUUGACAUCCGUUUUUCAGAGGCACUGCGCAGCAAUGUCUCGAUGGCGUGAGGAGCCGUGAGGGGUAAGUUUUGGCCCAGGCUUAGUUUAUUAGCUCCUGGACCAGACUUGUGGUUGCUGUUACAGCUCACAGACAACUUAGAAUGCUUGUGUUUAACUUUUUAGAGUGCGGCCACUAAGAUUUUUGCCUGUCCUUUUGAAGCUUUGUCAGCUGCCUUUUUAGCAGCCAGAGCAGCCUGUUUUUGUUUCUCACGGUCUCGAUUGUCAAAAACCUUCUGAGCUAUUUCUAGGGGCUGGGUGAUAUUCAUUCCAGCAAAUCCCUCAAGCUUUGUAAUUUUCUCUGAAUAUCAGGGGCUGCCUGGGCCACAAACGCCAAAAUAAUAACACAGCUAUUUUUGGGAGCCGCUGGAUCAGGUGGGGCGUAAAUUCGAUAGACCUCUUGGAGGCUUUCCAAAAACGCUCCAGGUGACUCACUGGGCCCCUGGACAACUUCAGUUGUCUUAGACAGAGUCAUGGUUUUCAAGCAGCGCCUUUAAUAUCCGUAAGGAGAUAUGGGUGGAAACUGUCCAAAGCUCUACUCUCCUACAAGGUAUUUUGGUCCCAGUCAGGCUGAGUAGAAGGAAAAAUUUUCUCAGAUGCCACUUGAUAUCAGUUAGGUAACAUUAAUAGUAAUAACUCUAAAUACAAUCCACCCACAAAUGACCAGUCUCUGAACCCUCAGCCAUGAGCUUGUCAUCUCACUUUCCUGCAAGAAAAGAUCUCCGUGACCUGGAGAGAGGCACGUUAGAGACAGUGAAAUGGACACUCAGUUGAGCCUUUCCAAGCACCACUGUCUACCAGGUGCAGGGCUCCUGCCUGCUGACAGCCCUGCGAGGACAGCUGAUCUAGGACCCUGCACAACCUCAGAGUCCACCUGCAUCUUCAGAAGCAUAAUUGCCAAAUCCCAGCACCAGCAUGAAGUGUCCACCAUUCAGCCUCACGGAAUGGCUAUGCUUCAGAUCCGUCAUCAUCCUCAGCUAAUCCGACUGUGUCUUUCCUCCUUUUCUUCUGUGACAGCCCAGUACAAGGCAAGGCUCCCGCGUUCUUCAUUUCACCAACUUCAAUAUAGGAAGAGCUCAUAUAACAACUGCCAGAGAUUCCGAAUGAAGCUGGAAUUGAUCAAUUGCCUUUUGUUCGCUUCCUUCCUCUCUGCAGGCCCUGAGAAGUACAGAGGCACAGUUUUAACCAAGUCCAUCAGGGUGUCCAGUUUCAAUCACAAGCUGCUGGUAUGAUCCUCAACAAGCCAGGACUCAAGUGCAAGCCCACCUGCAACCAGCAAAUAGAAGCAAUCAGGGAACUGCAAUUGUGACUACUCCGAGACACUCAAUCAUGAAUCAUGCAAAUUACAAUCAUGUUCUAACCUGCUGUUCAAGGGAGAAUAAAAUAAAAAUUAUCGCAUAUGAGGCUUAUUCACCUGUUUACAUAUAAUCAGUUACCAGUUUUUCUUUAUGAAGAAUGUUUAACAAUAUUAAAAAGUAUGUAUAAUAGUUACCAGGUUUUUGGCUUGUUACUUUUUGGUAGUCUCUCCUAAAACUGGCUGGAAAAG